UACGAAGGGGGCUAGCGUUGCUCGGAAUCACUGGGCGUAAAGGGCGCGUAGGCGGACAGUUUAGUCAGAGGUGAAAGCCCAGGGCUCAACCUUGGAAUUGCCUUUGAUACUGGCUGUCUUGAGUUCGGGAGAGGUGAGUGGAAUGCCGAGUGUAGAGGUGAAAUUCGUAGAUAUUCGGCGGAACACCAGUGGCGAAGGCGACUCACUGGCCCGAUACUGACGCUGAGGCGCGAAAGCGUGGGGAGCAAACAGG
rnacentral:rRNA from 1 species